CUCAUAAAUUUCAUCUCCAAAAAAGGAAACAGUUUUCUACUUUCGAUUGACCCUUAACCCUUGAAUCAAUUAAAAUGUAAAACUAACUAUUUAUUGUGAACAAAUUGACGUUCUGCUAUGAUAUCAGCAAUAUUUCAGCUGUAGCACAGUUUUUCACAAACUUAAGAAGAAUCCUUUAAAAUUACUGAGAAAAUGUAAGGGUAAGGGUAACAUUAUAAUUUCCUUUUCUCAAGUUUACCCCAAAAUUUAGAAAUAUGCUGUUAAAAUCUGAACAAAAAUGUCACAGAUAAAAAUAUAACAAAACAUAGAGACAUAAAUAUUUCAGCGUUUCACCUUUUUAACAAAUUACAAUGGAAAUUUAUGGCCAUCUUAAACGUUUAUCAUAAAAAACCAAAAAAUAAAAAAUAAAAAUAAUUUCAACGGUCCAUAAUGGCAUAACAAAACAGACGAAAAGCCAAACACCUUUAGAUGGCUAUUCAAGAAAAUAUGAAAAAAAUUAAGGUGAGAGAUAUUGUCAAUGGCAUACGUUGCCAUUGAGUUGAGAAAUUUUGCUCAUGCUAACAAUGAUGAUGAUGAUCAAAAUACAGAUAAUGAUCAUCCUGUCAACAAUGAUUGUCACAUCUAAAUUGUAUCUAUGCAUAUAUAAAUAUAGAUAUUGAUGUUCCAUCUGUUUCAGUGAAUUUUACUCAUCAACUGAGUUUUGCUAAAUCUUUUUUUUGUUUUUCGAAUAAGGAUGAUUCACAAAGCCACUCAAAUCUGAUCACAAAAAAAAAAUUGGGGCAAAAUAGCUCUUAAUAUUGGAAAUAGAUCUCUUAAAAUUUUCGCCAACAUUAAUAAAUGAAAAGGGAGCCAAUGAGGUGUGAAUCAUUUCGUGGGGGAGCAGGGAAAUGGCAACAGCCAGUAAAUUGUUUUGGAUCAUUUCUGGCGGCCAAAAAACCAACAACAAAAAUAUAAACCAUCGCCACAGCUCUCUGUGGAAGUGUUGCUAUUUUUGUUGAAUUUCUUCGCAAAAAAAAAAUUAUAAACAGUUUCGAAACACACGUUCGCAGUUCUUGAGCGAGUGAGCGUUGAGAUAACGAAAUUAGCAUAUUCACGGGGAAUUUUGUACAAGACAAAAUAGAAAUAUUUUUUAAAACGAUAUAUAUAUGAAAAAAGAGAGUGUCACAAUUGAUUAUUAAAAAGCAAUUUAAAGAUUGUUCAAUUCAUGUCAUUGCUGGAAAAAAUGUUAUUUUCAAAUUUUGUUAAAGUGAUACAAGCCAACAAACGUAGAAACCACAACAAAAGUGUAUUUCAACAAACCGACAAAAUCAAAAAGUGAUAAAACGAAAAUACAUAUGUGAUAAAUAUAUGAAAAUUAAUAAGAAAGAAUCAAAAAAUAUAUGUAAAAUACACAGAAAGUGCCAAAGAGAAAAAGUAUAAAUUUCUAUGGAAAUAGCAAUUUAAAUGUGAAAUAUAGAGGAAGAGAAAAUAAAUAAUCACUUAACGAAAAAAUUCAAUAAAUAAAUA
rnacentral:sRNA from 1 species